UGGACAUGCUCUCUUGCCUGCUGCCAUGUAAGACGUGCCUUUGCUUCUCCUUUGCCUUUGACCGUGAUUGUGAGGCCUCCCCAGCCAUGUGGAACUCAAACCAACUAACAGCUAAAGAAGGAGAGAUGAGAUGGCACCAGGGUGAAGGUUUCUCUGUGACCAUGUUGAUGGGGUUGACAAGUGACCUGAGGCUACCUGUACUUCCACAGAGUUGAGCCAGUCAGUGCUCCCAGGCUGGCAUCAUGUGACCACCAUGAAGAACAAAGGCUCCAGGGAAUUGUUUAGGGCUGCAGCAUGUGAAAAGACGAGGCCAGGCAGAUGCCCUCCCAUAUAUGGGAAAGAAGACAUGAAGAAGGAUGAGGAUGGUGUGCUUAUUUCUCUCUGUCAGUAAAAACUUUAAAUUGAUUUUGAUUUUCUGAAACUAAAUUUGGUGCCAGAUUGUGAAUAUACAGUAAAUGCUUUACUGUGUUUCAAGCGCAAAGUAGAUUUACAGCAGCCGAGAUAGUUUGUUAAAUUCCUGACAACUCACCAAACCAGAGUGCACAGCUGCAGUCACAGUUUCUGACAUGGGGGGCAAAGAUCCCCUGAAACCUUUUCAUCUUACCAAAGGAGGACUCCCAGGAGAUUUCAAAACAUAUGAGAGGAGAAAGCAAUGAAAUUACAUCCUUGAAACAUCACAAAUAGGGGUCCCAUCUGAUCCUACAUUCUGCUCUCACUGUGACCUGAUUCCUGGGGAUGAAACUGGGUAAUGACCAGUAAGUCAGACAUUGCUGGCCUCUGAUGCUCUUUGAAAUGGUUUCUCCUAAAGGCACGGAAGAAAUUCAAGAAUGGGUCUAAAGUGCAGUGCCUAGAAAUUGUUUUAAAAAAAAGUAUUGAUCUUAUUUUCAUUGCAACAUAAGAACUGAGUUUAAACCACUCAUAUGAUUUAAUCUAUUUCUCUGACAAAGUAAAAACACUGAAAAAUAGCUCAAUUUCUCCAUCUUUUUUAGGUGGAGAAUGAAGUUACCAUGGUUCUAAUGAGGGUAUUCUUUAUUGUCAUUUGAAGUAAAAAUGCAUUUUUCAUGAGGCUGUAUUAAUUUGACCAUAAAUAUCUUCUUAUUUCCAUGCUGAAAAUGUAUUUUAUAAAUUCUGAC
rnacentral:lncRNA from 10 species